rnacentral:rRNA from 1 species
GGGUUGUGAGGUUAAGCGACUAAGCGUACACGGUGGAUGCCCUGGCAGUCAGAGGCGAUGAAGGACGUGCUAAUCUGCGAUAAGCGUCGGUGAGGUGAUAUGAACCGUUAUAACCGGCGAUUUCCGAAUGGGGAAACCCAGUGUGUUUCGACACACUAUCAUUAACUGAAUCCAUAGGUUAAUGAGGCGAACCGGGGGAACUGAAACAUCUAAGUACCCCGAGGAAAAGAAAUCAACCGAGAUUCCCCCAGUAGCGGCGAGCGAACGGGGAGGAGCCCAGAGCCUGAAUCAGUGUGUGUGUUAGUGGAAGCGUCUGGAAAGGCGCGCGAUACAGGGUGACAGCCCCGUACACAAAAAUGCACAUAUUGUGAGCUCGAUGAGUAGGGCGGGACACGUGGUAUCCUGUCUGAAUAUGGGGGGACCAUCCUCCAAGGCUAAAUACUCCUGACUGACCGAUAGUGAACCAGUACCGUGAGGGAAAGGCGAAAAGAACCCCGGCGAGGGGAGUGAAAAAGAACCUGAAACCGUGUACGUACAAGCAGUGGGAGCCUCUUUAUGGGGUGACUGCGUACCUUUUGUAUAAUGGGUCAGCGACUUAUAUUCUGUAGCAAGGUUAACCGAAUAGGGGAGCCGAAGGGAAACCGAGUCUUAACUGGGCGUUAAGUUGCAGGGUAUAGACCCGAAACCCGGUGAUCUAGCCAUGGGCAGGUUGAAGGUUGGGUAACACUAACUGGAGGACCGAACCGACUAAUGUUGAAAAAUUAGCGGAUGACUUGUGGCUGGGGGUGAAAGGCCAAUCAAACCGGGAGAUAGCUGGUUCUCCCCGAAAGCUAUUUAGGUAGCGCCUCGUGAAUUCAUCUCCGGGGGUAGAGCACUGUUUCGGCAAGGGGGUCAUCCCGACUUACCAACCCGAUGCAAACUGCGAAUACCGGAGAAUGUUAUCACGGGAGACACACGGCGGGUGCUAACGUCCGUCGUGAAGAGGGAAACAACCCAGACCGCCAGCUAAGGUCCCAAAGUCAUGGUUAAGUGGGAAACGAUGUGGGAAGGCCCAGACAGCCAGGAUGUUGGCUUAGAAGCAGCCAUCAUUUAAAGAAAGCGUAAUAGCUCACUGGUCGAGUCGGCCUGCGCGGAAGAUGUAACGGGGCUAAACCAUGCACCGAAGCUGCGGCAGCGACACUAUGUGUUGUUGGGUAGGGGAGCGUUCUGUAAGCCUGUGAAGGUGGCCUGUGAGGGUUGCUGGAGGUAUCAGAAGUGCGAAUGCUGACAUAAGUAACGAUAAAGCGGGUGAAAAGCCCGCUCGCCGGAAGACCAAGGGUUCCUGUCCAACGUUAAUCGGGGCAGGGUGAGUCGACCCCUAAGGCGAGGCCGAAAGGCGUAGUCGAUGGGAAACAGGUUAAUAUUCCUGUACUUGGUGUUACUGCGAAGGGGGGACGGAGAAGGCUAUGUUGGCCGGGCGACGGUUGUCCCGGUUUAAGCGUGUAGGCUGGUUUUCCAGGCAAAUCCGGAAAACCAAGGCUGAGGCGUGAUGACGAGGCACUACGGUGCUGAAGCGACAAAUGCCCUGCUUCCAGGAAAAGCCUCUAAGCAUCAGGUAACAUCAAAUCGUACCCCAAACCGAC